rnacentral:rRNA from 1 species
UACGGGGGGAGCAAGCGUUGUCCGGAAUUACUGGGCGUAAAGGGCGCGUAGGCGGAUUUGUAAGUCAGAAGUGAAAUCUAUCGGCUCAACCGAUAAACUGCUUCUGAUACUGCAAGUCUUGAGUAAGGCAGAGGAAAGUGGAAUUCCUGGUGUAGCGGUGAAAUGUGUAGAUAUCAGGAAGAACACCAGUUGCGAAGGCGGCUUUCUGGGCCUUUACUGACGCUGAGGCGCGAAAGCGUGGGGAGCGAACAGGAUUAGAUACCCUUGUA